rnacentral:lncRNA from 1 species
UACUUUUAGGGCAUAAGUAGGUAAAUUGGGAUACAGCAGAGUAAACUUAAAGUUUACUGGCAUUUGCAUCCUUUUGUGCAGAUACAAGUCUAUGUGAUGUAACUAAGUCAUAGGAUGUGUGAUAGAAGGGGUUUAAUGGCAUAAAAGUCACUCUUCAGAUUCACAUCAGGCAGCUUUUAGAUGCUUCUUUUUUUAAUAACAUCACAAUCAUAAUCUAACAGUGUUCUAAUCAAGUGUUCAUGUUUUCAUAGACAGGUUUUCAUGUUGUGUAUUUAUUUUUAACAUUCAUUUUCAUAACAGUCUUCAGGUAUUUACAUUAUCUCCAUGAUGGCCAUGCCCCGCCCCCCGAGUACUUGUUUUUGAAACCUAUCAAAAUGCAAAUUGCCAAAAAUGCUCAUCCCUAAUUUAAAAUUGAAGCUUCAUCACUGUUGUUAUUGUUUAUAUGUGCUAUAAGUAUCAUAAUCAUUAUACUUUACAGAUCUACAGGUUAUACAGUACUGAUGUUUCUAGUGUUAGUUAUAUAUCAGACACACAUUCACACUAAUGACUGUCUCUCUUUAUCAUUACAGGUUCAGAUCUGUCUCCAGCUGCUGUAGCAGGGAUUGUUGUUGUUGUUCUGCUGGUGUGAUGAACUAUCGCCAAAUACCGGAGACAGUUUCAGGGGAGGAGGGAGACGAUGUCGAACUAAACACUGGUGUUACUAAAAUACAGACAAGUGAUCUGAUAGAGUCGUGGAAAUGAAGAUGAUCUCAUAGCUCAAAUCAAAGAAGGGACUGUAGAUAUCACUUCAUAUGAGGAUGUUCUUCAUGGGGUAUUCAGAGACAGACUGAAGCUGGACAUGAAGACUGGAUCUCUGACCAUCACAAACCCCAGAAUUGAACACACUGGACCCAUUAAGUUCCUGAUCAACAAGAAAUACAAGAAGUAAUGUAUUGUUUAUAUCAAAGGUGAGUAUCUCCAGACUUUGUAAUAAUGAUCACCAGGGCGGUGCACAGACAUUUUGAGGGGCAGUGGCCCAAAUAAAAAAAGGGGCACUAGGGAGGG